GAGGGUGUAACUCAGUUGGUAAGAGUGCUUGCCUAGAGGGUUAGAGAGAUGGCUCUGAGGUUAAGAAUACUGGCUGCUUUUCCAGAGGUCCUGAGUUUAAUUCCUAGCAUCUUCA
rnacentral:tRNA from 1 species